UUGCAUGAUGAACCCCAGAUAGGGACAGCUUAUACCAUUGGUAUUUGAUGAGAAACCCUGGGCAAGGAUUUUAGUAGAUGCUUUGUAUCUGAUC
rnacentral:snoRNA from 1 species